rnacentral:rRNA from 1 species
AGUGAACGCUGGCGGUAGGCCUAACACAUGCAAGUCGAACGGCAGCACAGUAAGAGCUUGCUCUUACGGGUGGCGAGUGGCGGACGGGUGAGGAAUACAUCGGAAUCUACUUUUUCGUGGGGGAUAACGUAGGGAAACUUACGCUAAUACCGCAUACGACCUACGGGUGAAAGCAGGGGAUCUUCGGACCUUGCGCGAUUGAAUGAGCCGAUGUCGGAUUAGCUAGUUGGCGGGGUAAAGGCCCACCAGGGCGACGAUCCGUAGCUGGUCUGAGCGGGUGACCAGCCACACUGGAACUGAGACACGGUCCAGACUCCGACGGGAGGCAGCAGUGGGGAAUAGUGGACAAUGGGCGCAAGCCUGAUCCAGCCAUACCGCGUGGGUGAAGAAGGCCUGCGGGUUGUAAAGCCCUUUUGUUGGGAAAGAAAAGCAGCAGGUUAAUACCCCGCUGUUCGGACGGUACCCAAAGAAUAAGCACCGGCUAACUUCGG